GGCCGGCUAGCUCAGAUGGUUAGAGCGUGGUGCUAAUAACGCCAAGGCCGUGUGUUCGAUCCCCAUGCUGGCCA